AUGACGUCACAUAUAAACAGGAAAUAACGAUAGUGAGCGGUGCUGUGGAAAUCACGACCUGUCGGAUUUAAAACAUUAAGACACAAAUACAAUGUAAAGCUAUCAGUAACAGAGUUAAGACGGACGAAGUCUGAGUUUAGUCCCAGUAGGACCAAACGAUGUGUCGUUUUCCCAGCUCCAGGAAAUCAGCAGGCUCAAUGGUCCAGAAUGGCACAGAUCAGGUCCUGCAGCACGUCAAACCUGUGAGCUCAUCACGCUGCUACACUGCAGGGAAAGAUGAGUACUGUUCAUCGAUCAUGAAAUUCCAAGUUUGUAAAAGAAAGGUCCGCACAUGCCUUCCAAGGUAUGGCUGCAUCUUCCUAUUCUUGGUCGUGUUUGCCUUAAGCUUCGUGAUAGAUUUCAUGGACAUCCUGGAGGUUUGCUCCCUUAUGAAUGAGGAGACACGCUGAAGCUCACUCACCAGAUAGCUUCCAACUGUCUUUACUUGUAAGCACAAUCAAUGAAGAACAGUUACAACCCACUCACUGAAUAAUGAUUUGUUUUCACAAUCUAAGAAGAGAAGGUUUACAUGCUCCAUAAUAUAGGCUGCAUCAAAA
ensembl:lncRNA